CAAUGAAGGAAGUAUAGUAAUGUGCACAUAAAUUGAAUUGGUCUCUAGGCCUGUCAUCUCUAAUACCAAUUAGCUUUGAUUUGGGGGCAUAGUUCCGUAGCAAAUCA